AUUUGACAUGUACCGCCAUUGAACAUCAUUAAUAUGAAAAUUCACGUGCAAUGAAUAAAUUACGAAAGCUUUUAGCUUAAUACGCCGCGGUUCACUAAAAAGACUUUUAGUUCAAAGACAAAGUUCCGAUCAAAUUUAGCAAGCAUACGUGCUGACCUACAAUGAACAGCCUACUCUUGGUUGUGUCUGUAUGGACGUUCCUUGUAGUCGUGACGUAUGCGGCGAAGAAAACCAAGGAGGAUCCGUUUGACCUCAGUGGAAUAAUGUCGAUGCUGGAUGGCCCAAACAAAGUUGGAGCAAAGAUGGGACCUAUGGAAAUCAUGUCGCUAAUGACCCAAGUUCAAACCUUGCAAGAAAGCUUAGAAAAGAAGCCAAGUUCAAGUUCAAAAGACACGAAGAAGCCGUCAAAGAAGUCAAAGAAAUCUAAAAAAUCGUCUAAAAAAUCUUCUAAAAAGUCAAAGAAAGCACCUAAAAAAUCAUCCAAAAAAUCAAAGAAGGACAGGAAAAGUAAAAAAUCCUCCAAAAAAGAAUAAGUAAUGUUUUUAUGACACAGAUAUUAAAUCAACUAGAGAAACCAAUUCUAGAAGAAAGUGUUCGACAAAGAGAUUUCGUAAUUUUAGUCACAAUAAAUAAAUUUUGAGUGUCA